rnacentral:lncRNA from 1 species
ACGUACCAAUGAGUUGUUUGCUUACCCUUUCUCUCUUUCUCCUUCAUUUUCUUUUUCAUUUUCCAUGUAUAUAAUUCUCGCUAGUCAAGCUAAAGUAACUUUUCCUUCCUUUACUCUAAAGUUCUCAAGAUCUGAUGUCUGAAAAGUACAUAAACCUUUAUUAGGAGAAGUAGAAGAAAGAACACAAGAAUCUGAAAGAAGAAGCAUAAAAGCAUAUAGCAUAUGACAAUUUACUGCACAUAUAGCCUAGGGGCGGAUUUAGGAGGGCGGAAACCGAAAUUUAUACUGCAUAUUUAAAAUAAAAUCUAUUUUUUAACUUUAUAUAUUAUUUUUCGAAUCCUUUUGACAAAUCUUAAAAAAAUAAUUUAGUUGUCACGGGUCAAAACCUUUGUGAAGUCAGAAGUUCAAUUUCCACUGGCGAUAAUUUCUUUAAUUUUUUAACUUCUUUUUUUUCUGAACUCCCUGAAACAAAAGAAGAUGGAUUGACCAUAGAUCUCCCGACCCAAUUACCAAAAUAAUAUAGAGAUAUCUACUGAACAAAGCGGAUGGCUACAAAAACAAUGGAAGUAUUGUACUUCGGCUUGAGCCUAUGGUUGUCUUGUUGAAUUGCGCUCUCUAACAACUUGUUUGGAUGAGAGUUCCUCAUUUUAUCUUAUUGUAUUGUUAUUCAAAAAUAAUAUUUAUUUUAAUUAUUUUAUUAAAAGUGAUUGUAUUGUAUUGUUAAAUUUAUUGUUCAAAAAUAAUGAAAAGUCUGAAAAAAUCAAUUUGGUGUGGUGGAAUUGUUUCCUAUUUUUCUUUUCAAAUAUACCGUAACUUAUUACUCCACAAUUCUAUUUUUCCCUUUAUCUUUUUUUCUAUGGAGAAUGCAUAAGUAUCCCUCUGACCUAUACCCGGAUUUCCAACUAUACACUUUUUCUUUGCGCGAAUCCUAUUACCCCCCUAAACUUAUUUUAAAUGAAAUUAUUUGCACUCUUAACGCUGACGUAGCAGAGUAUGUGUAUUUCACUCUCCCAAGGAGAGUGAGAAGCAAGAAAAAAUGAUUCAAAUUAUUUUUUAUUCUUUUUACCAUUUUUUCUUACUUUUUUUGCUUUUCCAUUUUCUUUUUCUUUUACUUUUUUUUGUUCGUUUCUUUUCUAAUUCCGGUGGAUAUUCAUUCACUGGCGACUUUGUUUAAUCGUUUUUCUAACAUUUUUUUACACACAAAUUAAAUUCUCAAAAAGAUCCAUUCAUAAGCAAAGCAAAAUACACUCAAAUUUGGGGGAAAAAAAUUCAUCAUCGGGAAACCUUCCCACGCCAGAAAAAAAUAAUGUAUUGACGUUUUAACUGAUAAAGAUUUUCUAAGCUUAUAUUCAUUUUUAUUUCUUUUUAUCUUCCUCCCACACAUAAAUUACACUUUCAAAAAAAGUUUAUAUAAAUAUAUCUAACAAACACAUUUAGAUCGGAAUAAAAAUCUAUCGUCGGAAAGAAAUUCUCUAGAUAAAAUGGUAUUUGUGAAAUUCUGACGACCACCAUUUUAUGCCGCUGGUGACCAAAACAAAAAGAAAGAGAAUAAAUAACAAAAAAAAUGAGAAUAAUAAGAAAUAAGAAAAAAGAAUAAAAAAAGAAGAAAGAAUAGAAAAGGUAUUAAAAAUGCAUGUGGGAGCACGUGUAGUUCACCACUUGUCAAGAGUUUGGUUGUUAGUGUUAAUGGUGCAAAUAGUUACAUUUAAAACAAGUUUAAGGGGGUAAUAGGAUUCUGGCAAAGAAAAAGUAUGUAGUUGGAAAUCCGUGUAUAGGUUGGGGGAUACUUAUGCAUUUUUCCUUUUUUCUAUUUUAAUUCCAAAUCUCCAACUUAUAACCUAUUUUAUUUUAUUUUGAAGAACUUCUGCCGCCAACGUUAAAGGUGUUUUGUCACCUUUUGUUUUAUUUUUUCUCCUAAUGUGCUUUUAACUCGAUUCUAAUUAGUUGUGCUCUUUUGUUUUACCUUCUUCCGUCUUGCUCCUUUGUUCUACUUUCUUAAUGUGUUUUACUUUCUUCUAUUUUGUUUUUUAAAAUUAUUUUUAGGCAUACUUUUUUUAUAUAUAUUUAAACAAUUAAGGGUACUUUAGUAAACUUAUGAAUUACAGUACAGUACGAUACAGUCAAAUCAAACAGCAAAAUAUUAUUUAACAAUAACAAAUAAUAUAAUCUAUCCAAACAUUAUAUUCAUAAAACAAUAAUAUAAUAUAAUAUAAUACAUUAUAAAAUAAUGAGGAACAAUGAUCCAAGCAAAGUGACAAUUAAUAACACUUGUUGUCAAGUUGAUUGCAAUAGAUUGUUGCUAAUUUUGCUAAUAUUUCAGCAUAUAAAAGAUUUUCAUCUUGUAGUUAGUUGGUAUGUAUCAAGAAAAUAAUCCAUUCAUCUUAAUUUUUAAAUCCUUCAAAUAUUGAUCAAGGUUAACAUCGAAUGGUGUAGGUAAAUUUUUUUUGAUAAAUAAUAACUUUUUGGCGAAAUUAGACCCUGACAUCAGAAAUGACAAUAAUAAUCACACAAAUGUCUAGACACGAAAUCAUACACAUAAUAUCCCACAUAACUAUUAAUUUUAUUUUUAAAAGAAGUUUUUAAGAUUAUAUACUUAUUUCCGACUCUUGGAUAUAAAAAUGACCUUUGAAUAUAUGGUACAAAUAUAGCUACUACAAAGAGAGAAAAUCAGCAAUUCUCCAGCAUUAGAGAUAUAAUUAAAUAUGGUGGGAUACCCAAAAACCUCUCUAUACUUGACAGAAUUAUUAGUUACAUUCUAAACUAUCAUGGUCUUAAUUAUUCCACUAAAUUUGGCUUUCUAAGAGCUAUAACCUCCCUAGACGCUUAAAUAGCAAAGAGAGUAAGGUGCACUCUCUUUUAAGCACGUAGGAGUAAAGAAAAAUUGAAAAACCAUCUUCCAAAUAGGUUAUUUUUUAACUUUUAAUUGUCAUAUAUGAUUUAUUUAUUACAAUUACGUAUUUCUUCUUACUUCAUCUUAAUACAUAAUGUGGACUUUACUGUAAUCUUUAUUCUUUCUAAUUUUUUCUAUAAAUAUAAUGUCUAUAUGUUCCAACUACAUAUUUCUUCUUUUCUUUGGGCUAGAUUUGAAAAGUUUGGUGGGGACUCCAUCAUUUUAGCCAAAUAAAAAAUUCCAGCAAAUAUAAUGGAGUACUAGUUGUGUAUUUUUCGUUAUUUUUUCUUUAAAUAUAAUAAGUAUUUACUUUAAUUGUGUAUUUUUAUUUUCGAGUCAAAUUAGUAAAGAAAAUGGCCACAGCUCCAUUAUUUUUUACCAAAUAAAAGGUAUAGCCGAAAUAAUAUUUGCAAUCGUACACCUUUUUUUUAUGCAAUAAUUAUUUAUUUCAACUAUGUAAUUUUAUUUUUUUUGGUAAUAUAUGUAAAAAAAAAUAUUUUUAGAGUUCCAAAUUUAGAACUGUAUAAAAAAUUAGAGCCAAAAUAAUAAAGUUAUGUAUUUUUUAUAUCUUUUUCGAUGUCUUAACUAUUUAUUUUAACUGUAUAAAUCAUUAUUUUCAUGUAAAAUUCAAAAAUAAAAACUAAGACAUUAUUAUUUUUAGCUAAUUAAAAAAAUAAAAAAAGUCAAAAAUACCCCUAAUGUAUUGAAAAUGGUUCACAAAUUUUCUGUGUUAACCUUUUGGUUUAAAAAGACUCUUAAUAUUUUAUUUUUGACUAAUAUAUAUCCUUGAAACCGACCUGGUAAAUAUUGGCACUUAUAAAAUAUCCAUGUAGUAUUUUUUAUGCUUGACACGUGUAUUUUUAUAAAUAAAAUUAAAAACCAUCUAUUUCUUGUAACUCAACCCACCUAAGUCCCUAUAACCUGCGGGUGGCUUCCCUCUUCUUUCAGAAUUGACUACUUCAAUAAUGGAGGUACGAAAAAUAUGCCCAUCUCAUUCUUCUCCUUCUUCCCGUCAGAUAAUAAUUGUAGGCUAUAAUUAUGUAUUUUAGUCAUUUAUUACAUUUUAAUUUAUUGUACUUUAAUUGAGUUUGAACUUUAAUCGCUAGUGUUUUAUACUAAUUAUGUAUUUUAUGCCUUGUAGGAGCAAUCCGAGCUAUGUAGAUAUUACGGAAUGAAAUCGAGCUAUUUGAAUUGCUGAAGUCGAGUAGAAGCCAAAGGUAUUAAGCUGGAAUCGCGUUUGGGGGUCGAGAACCACGUCUAAACUUCAAAAAUUAAGCAAAACGGCAAGCUCUAAGAAAAAACCCACAGUCGCAGCGUGCCACAGCUGCCUUAUUUUGUUGUUGCCUUCAAAGUGCACACUUCCUCAUAAACUCCACUAUCACAUCGCAUGUCGCGUUGCCCCAUGCAGCACGCCUGUGCAAUUUUUAUAGAGUAACAAUCGAAUGUCAACCAGGAGAAGGUGGUUUCGUUCAGGUCUGACCCUACUUGGUAUAAAUACAUGUAAAAAUGUUAUUUUGGGGACAUUUGACACAUUUUAAACCGAAGUCUGAUGACCCGAAAGGUCAUUACUUGAUUUAAAUUAAAUUAUGUAUUUUCUGAGGCCUUGAAAGCCUCUUUAGCCUCGUCUCAAUUUGUGUGCGCAGUCCGUACGUUUAGCCGGAAAGCUUAUAUGGUAAAAUGUAUGAAAAGAAUAAUAAGUUUUGAUUGUAAAAGGAAUAAAUUUGGCUUCGUUCAAUAUUUUGGGUAAACGGACCCGGACCCGUGAUUUAACUGUCCCAGAGGGUCCGUAGGAAAAUAUGAGACUUGGGCGUAUACCCAGAAUUGAAUUUCGAGGUCCCGAACCCGAGAAAUAAAUUUUUUUAGAAAAUUAUUGCCUGAAAGAUUUUAAGGAAAUUUGAAAACAAAUAUGAUUAGAAAGCAUUAGUAUCGGGCCCGUAUUUUGGCUUUGGAGCCCAGUAUAUGUCUUAUAUAUGGUUUAGGUCUUUUCUGUGAAAUUUGAAUAAAAAUGAUUGUCGUUUGACGUAGUUCGAACUUGAAUUGUCAAAUUUAAUACUUGUUGAAGUUUGAGAAAAGUUGUUGAUUUUGAUAAUACGUAUAAAUAUAGCAUGGCAUACCAAUGAGUUGUUUGCUUCCCCUUUCUCUCUUUCUCCUUCAUUUUCUUUUCCUUUUUCCAUGUAUGUAAUUCUCGCUAGUCAAGCCAAAGUAACUUUUCCUUCCCUUCCUCUAAAGUUCUCAAGAUCUGAUGUCUGAAAAGUACAUAAACUUUUAUUAGGAGAAAGAAGUAGAAGAACGAACACAAGAAUCUGAAAGAAAAGCAUAAAAGCAUAUAGCAUAUGACAAGUUACUGCACAUAUAGCCUAGGGGUGGAUUUAUAAGGGUGGAAGCCCAAUAUUAUACUGUAUAUAUAACACAAAAUCUAUUUUUUCGUUCUAUAUAUUAUAUUUUGAAUCUUCAUGACAUAGCCUAAAAGAAUAGUAUAGUGGUCAACAGUCAAAACCUUUGUGAGGUCACAAGUUCAAUUUCCAUUGCCCAUAAUUUUUAUAAUUUUUUAACUUCUUUUCUUUUUUGAACCCUCUUAGCAAAAAUUUUACCUCCAAACACCUAAAACAAAAAAAGGUGGAUUAACCAUAGAUCUCCCGACUCAAUUACCAAAAUAAUAUGGAGAUAUCUACUAAACAAAGCGGAUGGGCUACAACAACAAUGGAAGUACUGCAUUUCACCUUGAACCUAUGGUUGUCUUGUUGAAUUGUGCUCUGUAACAGCAUGUUUGGAUAGUUGUUUCCCAUUAUAUCUUAUUGUAUUGUUACCCUAAAAUAAUGUUUGUUUUGAUUAUUUUAUUAAAAUUAGUUGUAUUGUAUUGUUAAAUUCAUUGUUCCAAAACAGUGAAAAGUCCCUUUAUUUGAAAUAACCGAUUUGGUGUGGUGGGAUUGUUUCCUUUUUUUCCCCAAAUAUGCCUAACUUAUUACUCACAAUUCUAUUUUACCUUUUAUCUUUUUUUUCUAUUGUAACUCUAAAUCUCCAACUUAUAACCUACUUUAUUUUUUUUUCAGAACUUCUGCCGCCAACGUUAAAAGUGUUUUGUCGCCUUCAGUUUUAUUUUUUUAUCCUAAUUUGCUUUUAACUCGAUUCUAAUUAGUUGUGCUCCUUUGUUUUACCUUCUUCCGUCUUGCUCCUUUGUUCUACUUUCUUAAUGUGUUUUACUUUCUUCUAUUUUGUUUUUUAAAAUUAUUUUUAGGCAUACUUUUUAUAUAUAUUUAAAAAAUUGAGGGCACUUUAGUAAAUUUAUGAGUUACAGUACAGUACGAUACAGUCAAAUCAAACAACAAAAUAUUAUUUAACAAUAACAAAAAAAUAUAAUCUAUCUAAAUAUUAUAUUCAUAAAAGAAUACGAUAUAAUAUAAUAUAAUACAUUAUAAAAUGAUGAGGAACAAUGAUCUAAGCAGAGUGUAAAACAAUUAGUAACACUUGUUGUCAAGUUGACUGCAACAGAUUGUUGCUUAUAUUUAAGCAUAUUUAAGAUUUUCAUCUUGUAGUUAGUUGGUAUGUAUCAAGAAAGUAAUGUAUUCAUUUUAAUUUUUAAAUCCUCGAAAUAUUGAUCAAGUUCAAACGUCGAAUGAUGUGUUUGGAACUAUUAUUUUGAUGAAUAAUAACUCUGUGCAAUUAGACCCUGACAUCAUAAAUGUCAAUCAUAAUCAUACAAAUGUCUAGACACCAAAUCAUACACGUAAUAUCCCACAUAAUUAUUCCUUUCUCCGGUCCAAAAUAAGUAAUUUUUUGGCUUUUUCUUGUGGUCCAAAAUAAGUGAUUUUUUCAGAUUUCAAGAAUAAAUUAAUUAUUUUUUUCUACAUUAUCCUUGGAGUAAAUAGUGUAGGAAUAUGUGUUAGGAGUGUUUAUGUAAGAUAAUAAAAGUUAGUAUGGUCAAUUUCAUUCCUAAUUAAUGCUUAAAAAAUAAAUUUCUUAAUCUGUAUGAAAAUAUUCAAAAAAUUACGUAUUUUGAACCGGAAGGAGUAAUUUUCAAAAGAAGUUUAUAAGAUAAAGAACAAAGUAUAACACCCAAAUAUUCAGGAAAAGAGGACUCAUCAUAGAUCUCUUCUCUUGCUUGACACCCCCAACACAGCUAUUUGUUGCUUCUAUUUCUAUAUAAGCACUGUGCAUUACUCACUCAACAAUAUAAUCACCUGGCAACUUAUUUCCAACUCUUAAAUAUAAGAAACACCUUUGAUUAUAUUGAACAAAUAUAGUUACCAAAAACAGACACAAAAUCAAUAAUUUUUCAGUAUCAGAGACAUAAUUAAACUAAUAAUCCCAUGUACAUGAAGAGAAUCCAUUACCACAUAGUCUGAACCAGAAUAGUUAAAACAGAAUCCAUAACCACAUACUCACAAUCCUGCAUUUGUGGAUCGGCAGAAGGUCAUUUACUUGUUGAAUUUCAAAUACAAAUACAGAGCCAACGCAGCAGAAUUUAACUAAAAAACAUACCUUCAGCCAUUGUUAUUCAAGAGUUACAGGGAAUCGUCUUUGAAACUUUUAACAGAAAACCUAGAGAGCCUUCUAGCCUGAUGGAGUCACAUGCGUAUUUAUAGGUAGGCUAGAGACUCUUAGGAAAAUACUUUAGCCCUAGGGACUUUUUCAUAAAUUAUAAUAACCUUGAGGACUCUUAAUAUAUGAUAAUUUCUUUCCAUCAAAGAAACUACCAUAUAUGCAUAACUACAGAAUGUUAUCUGAUAUAUUAUUUCCUUUGGGAGACAAGGUAAAUAAUUUAUUACCUUAUAUGUGGGCCACACUAGAAAUCUUUAGAAAGUGAUGGUGAAUUUCUUACAUUCUCCUACUUGGCCCACAUAUAAUUAGAUAAUCCUUUGUGAGAAAUAAAAAUAUAAUAUGACCACAACUUUAUCACCCAACUAAAAGUUAUGCUGCAAUAGAUUUAACUAGAAUAUAUUAUUACACGAAUCGUGGCGGUCAUGCUUUUAGACAAACACUUCCUUCCAUGUAUGACAAUGUACAAUAUAUUCUAAUAAAGAAGCUAACAACUUUAGGAAUGAACUCAAUAUAAGUCAUUCAGAGUCCAACUUUAUUGAUCCAAUGAUCACAAAUAAUACAUAAAAUACCAAAAGUGUGCACUGUCAUGUAUAUUAAAAUAAUCAUAAUGUCUAGACAAACUGUUAGAGAGCAAAGCAAGACUAAAUUGAGCUACUAAGCCCCAUAUGGUUACAUGAUCUUUGAAAAUAUUAGCUGGCAUAUCUUUAGUCAUAGGAUCAUCAUUCAUCAAAGUAGUAUUAAUAUGCUCAAAAUUCACAUUUUGCUUCUUUACAUACACUCUAACCAUCAAGUACUUUAUGUCGAUGUGCUUGCUUCGCGUGCCACUUUUAUGAUUCUUAGAAAAGAAAACUACAGCUGAAUUGUCACAAAAGAUUUCCAUUGGCCUUGAAAUGGAAUCGACAAUCCUAAGGCCAGAAAUAAAGAUUUUUAACAAUAACGCUUGUAAAUAGCUUCAUAGCAUGAUAUAAAUUCAAUUUCCAUUGUGGAUGUAGCAAUAAUGGUCUGCUUGACACUUUUUCAAGACACAGUACCUCCAGCAAGAAGGAAAAUGUAUCCUGAAGUAGAUUUACCAGUGUAUUUGCAUCCACCCAGAUGAGUCUGAAUAUCCAAUAACCUCCAAUGAGUCAGAAUAUAUGUUUGUGAGCUUAAAAUCCUUGGUUCCUUGCAUAUAUCUCAAGACCUGACAAGACCAGGGUUACUUUGGUAUCUGCCAAGAAUUCCUACCGCAAAAUUAAUAUCAGGUCUAGUACAGACCUGUGCAUACAUAAGGAUCCCAAGAAGAGAUGCAUAGGGAAUGUCUUUCAUUUGCUCAUUUUCCAAUGCAUUUUGUGGACAUUGAUUCAAUAAAAAUUUGUCACCUUUAAUAAUAGGUGCUACUAUAGGUGAACAGUUCUUUAUCCCGAAUUUUCCAGAAUUCUUUCAAUGUAGGCCUUUUGAGACAGUCGAAGUAAUCUUUGGGAUCUGCCUCUGUGAAUUUCUAUGCCAAUGACAUAAGAGACUUCACCCAUAUCCUUCAUCUCAAAAUUCUGGAUAAGGAGCUAUUUAGUCUCGUGCAACUAUCCCAAGUCACUACUUGUAAGCAAAAUAUCAUCCACAUAUAGGACUAGAAAAAUAUAUUUAUCCCCACAUAUCUUAAGGAAUAUACACUGAUCAAUGAUGUUCUCCGUAAAUCCAAAUGAAGAAACAACAUUGUGAAAUUUAAUAUACCAUUGGCGGGAAGCCUGUUUUAGCCCAUAAAUGGAUUAAUUCAACUUGCAAACAAGGUGACUUUUGUCCUUAUCACAAAAUCCUUCAGGUUGACGCAUCAUUGACAGGAAGCCUGCUUUAGCCAAUAAAUGGAUUUAUUCACCUUGCAAACAAGAUGACAUUUUUCCUUAUCACAAAAUCCUUCAGGCUGACGCAUGUAUACCUCCUCUCCAAGAUCUCCUUUCAGGAAAGCUGUUUUCACAUCCAUUUGAUGUAACUAUAAAUCAAAAUGAGCUAAUAAUGUCAUGAUUAUUCUCAAUGAAUCCUUCUUUGAUAUUGGAAAAAAGGUUUCAUGGUAAUCAAUGCCUUCCGUUUGAGUAAAACCCAUGGCUACAAAUCUGGAUUUAUAUCAUUCGAUAUAACCCGAUGAAUCUCUUUUAGUUUUAAAGACCCACUAGGAACCUAUGGUAGAGGACCCCUUUGUUAGUUCGACAAGACCCAUACUUUAUUUUUAGCCAUAGAUUCUAACUCUUCUUUCAUGGCAUCAUAUCAAAGUGUGGACUUUUCUCCACUCAUGGCUUGUGAAAACGAGCAUGGAUCAUCUUUUAAUCCAUUAUCAUAAUCAGACUCUUGGAGAUAUACGACAUAAUUGCUAGAAAUUACUGAUUUUCAAAUUCUUGAGGAUUUUCUCACUCCCAUUGGUUUAGACACUUCUUCAGUGGGUUCAAGUAAAGAGGGUUAAUCUUCAUGUGGCUCCACAAGUGAUGGUGGCUCUUGAACUUGUUGUUGUUCAGAUAAUUCAUGAGAAUUUUGCUGAGCAACAUUCAAGUUCUCAAUAUAUAAAGGUACCACAUGUGGUUCCCUUAUUUCUUCCAAUUCCACCAUUUGAGUCACUCCCACUCUUUUCAUGAUCCUCAAGAAAUUUAGCAUUUCUAGCUUCAAUAGUUUUAGGAGAAUGAGAAGGAUAAUAAAACCUAAAUCCCUUUGAGUUAACCGCAUAGCCUAUAAAAUAACUGCUUAUUGUUCUUUCAUCCAGUGUCUUUAGUUGUGGGUUAUAAACCCUCACUUCAAUUGGACAUCCCCAAAUGUGUAAAUGGUUUAAACUAGGUUUCCGUCAUUUCCAUAACUCAAAAGAUGUCUUGGGGUCAGCCUUGGAUGGAACCCUAUUUAAAAUAUACAUAGCGGUUUAUAAGGCUUCACUCAAUAAGAAUAAAGAUAAACUUAAUCUACUAAUCAUGCUUCUUACUAUGUCUAUUAAUGUCCGGUUCCUUCAUUCUGCCACACCAUUUUGUUGUGGUGUUCCUGACACAGUAUAUUGAGCAACUAUACCUUCACUUUCAAGGCUUAGAAAUGGAACCUUAACUUGUCCCUUAUCUGUGUACCUACUAUAAUAUUCUCCUCCCCUAUUAGAUCUUACAAGUUUGAUCUGAGCACCAGUUUGUUUCUCUACUUCUAUUUUGUUCACUUUAAAAUUAUCAAGUGCUUCUGAUUUGUUGAACAAAAAAUAGAAAUAUAUAUACCUUGAAUAGCCAUCAAUAAACGAGAUAAAAUAUCUCUCACCAUUCAAGCAAGGGGUAGGAAAAUGUCUACAUAUGUCUGUAUGUAUGAUCUCAAGUAAUUGAGAAUUUAUUUUGGCACCUUUAGUUGAUUUGUUGGUCUGCUUACCCUUUAUGUAGUCCACACAAGUCUCAAAGUCAGAAAAAUCAAGAGCUUUUAGAACUCCGUCAUUAACCAACCUUUUGACUUUAUCAACAGAGAUGUGUCCCAAUCUCUUGUGCCAAAGACUUAGUGCCAAUUUCUUCAUCAUGCAAAGUUAAAACAUUGCAUUCAAAUGUGGGGUCUAGCUCAAGUUUAUAUAAAUUUCUAUUCAAAUUUCCAAAACCAAUAACUUUAUUAUAUUUCAAAAGUUUCAUAAAAGGAUAAUGAAAAUUCAAAUCAUAUCCACUAAUCGAUAGUCUUGAAAAAGAAAUUAAAUUUCUAGAAUAUUCUAGAACAUAAAAAGUAUUUUCUAAAUCUAAGUGAAAACCAUCAUUCAAAGUACCGAUAAGUCUCCGCUCCUUCCACACGUGAAUGAGUGCUAUUGCCAAGAUAUACGUAUUGUUCACUUCAUAUAUGCUUCCUCUGAAUUAGAAAGCCCUGCAUGAUAUUAGCAAUGUGAAUUGUAGGACCAGAAUCAAUCCACCAUGUAUUAUCAGAAACUUCAGUAAAUUAGAUUCAUAAUAUACAAAGGUAAAAUUACCUUUUUUCUCAAGUCAUUUCUUGUAUUUCAUGCAAUCCUUCUUCUAGUGUCCCUUCUUCUUACAGAAACGACAAGCAUCUUUGUCAAAAGUGCUUUUCUUCUUCAUGGGAACACUUUUGCCCUUCUUUGCAUUUCUCUUAUCAUGAGUCACCAUAUUAACACUUUCAGGUGUCUCAUGUUUCAACCUCUCUUCUUCUUGAACGCACGUGGCCAAAAAAGCAUGGAUUGGCCAUUUAUCCUUAUGUGUGUUGUAAGAAAUCUUGAACAGACCAUAUUCCGCAGGAAGUGAGUUGAGAAUGAAAUGCAAAAGAAAUAGUUCGGACAUAUCAACCUCAAGGGACUUGAGUUUAGCAGUAAUGUCUCUCAUCUCCAUAAUGUGCUCACGCACUGUACAAUUUUGUCGAAAAUCAUACUCGAGAGCCUCUUCAUAGGGGUGCUGGCAAAUGCCUUGUCAGAGCUUACAAAUUGUUCAUCAAUUGCCUUCAUGUAAGCUUUGACCUUAUCGCUAUUAGGGAAAGAACCCCUAAUGCUUUGGCUUAUGUAGGCUUUUAUGAUCAUUAAACUUAACCGUUCCCACUGCUUAUAAUUAGCCUUAGCAUCUAGUGUACUUGAUUAUGUAAAAAUAGGUGGUUCAUCCACACAGAGUGCCAGAUCUAGAUCCGGACACCCUAAAGUGAGAAGGACUUUCAUUCCAUUCAGUAUAAUUGUCACCAGAAAGCAUUGGAAUUUGAGCAUUCUCAUUAAAAACAGCGGUAUGAAAAGCUGUAAAUACUGCAAAAUAAGGAUAAAACAUACAGAAGCUAUAAAGUACAACCCAUCAAAGGUGAAUCACGCAAAAUACUGAUUCAUAGUAAAUUCUAGACCUUCAUGUUGGCAGAUGUUACAACCAAUGCAUAGAAUUUACUAACUUUAUCAGACUAGUAAACCAAAAUACAUAGAAAUUAAUCCGUUUCGGUGGGCAUAAAAUAAUUUUCAACUUAAAAGUUUACUAUCGCAUUCCAAUUAAUCUCACAAAAAUAGUUUCCUCCCUGUAGGGCCGAGGUACUAUUCUAAUGAGAUAACUGGACUAAAUAGAUGUCAUUAAAAUUUUUAAUCACUACACCUUAUGUGAUUAAAUAACUUAAUUUUUUUAUAUCAGAUACUCAAGAUAACUACUAAGUAAAUCACAAAAAAGAAAACUCAAUAAUGACAUCUCAAAAUAGUCAACUUAACGAAAAUAUUGACUAGUUUCAAAGCGGGCAUAUAAAAUAUAAGCACAAAGCCUAUAUUGUUCCAAAAACCAAGUCUUAUUUCUUAUAAUCAAUCUAAAUAUUAUAGAAUCUCCUUGAAUAAUAGCAAAUCUAUUAACAAGAAAACAAAUACGUCUAAAUGUGACACGAUUGCUCUAAAUAUUUAAUUGAAUAAAUGUUUCAUUCACGUCUGCAUGUACAACUAAGCAAAUAAUGAUCAUGGUGAAUCUGAAAACCAAACAUGAUUGUAUUCAUGUGUCUAGAAAAGUAACACUACCAUGAUUAUCGAUUUUAAGAACUAAGAAUGACCCAUUAAGGAAAUAAAUUGAUUCCACAUAACAAAGUAAGAAUGCACCUUUUAAAAAAAAAAAGUGCAAGACUUUUCUGACCAAACAUGUUCGAUUGCUUAAAUGCUAAAUGAACUUACAACAUAAUGAAAUAAAAGUAUAUUUUCUGAUCUUGUUGUAGUUCCCAAUUAAUAGAUCAAGAAGAACAAAAAAGGUUCAAAGCAUUGACUGACUCCCAUAUUCAAUUACAUAGUCUUGGUCUAGAAUGAUUAAAUAAAUAGAUGAAUCUAAACCAAUGGAACAUUAAAACUAUGAAACGAAAAUUUAUUCCAGUAUUGAAAUAAAUUAGAGUGAAUGUCUAUCUUGUAGAGAGUUUUACUUUGAGGCUAAGUCAUCAAACGGUUGGAAGGCAAUAUCAUAGAUAUGCGAAGAGUAUGGGCAAACAAUGUAAAAUAGUGAAAUAUAUCACCAAUAUUAUAUAGUAUUUCACUAUUUCUAUCACCAUUUAUUGGGACAAGAAUUUUCCCGAACACUGAACACACAGCUAAAGGCGGUUGCUUUGAUACCACAUGUCGAAUUUUCAAUACAAACACAGAGUCAACGUAGUGAAAAUUAACUAAAAAACGCACCUUCAGCCAUUAUUGUUCAAGCGUUGCAGGGAAUUGUUUUUGAAACCUUUAGCAGAUGCGUAUUUAUAGGCAGGCUAGAGACUCUUAGACGAAUACUUUAGUCCUAGGGACUUCUCAAUAAAUUAUAAUUAUUCUAGAAACUCCUAAUAUAUGAUAAUAUCUUUACAUUAAAAACACUACCAUAUAUGCAUAACUACAACUACAGAGUAUUAUCUGAUAUAUUAUUUUUUUUGAAAAACAAGAUAAAUAAUUUAUUACCUUAUAUUUGGAUCACACUAGAAAUCUCUAAUUAGAGACGUGAAUUUCUUACAUUACUCACUAUAGAAGAGCAUUUCAACAUCUUAUGCCAUUGUGUUGCAAAUUAAGGCCGAAUCUAUCGAAAAUAUAACAAAAAGAUCUCAUCUUGCAAAACAAAAUAGAAGAUCUGCUGAUACCAAUAUAAAUUGGGAUGCUCACAUCGCAGCAAACAGAUCCAUAAAAUCCUAAUCAAAACGUUAAACAGAUCAAGCAUAACCUCAAGGAGGCAAAUAAGAAGCAAACCUGAGCAGCUUUGUAGGGAUAACUUCCUUCGAAUUAUGUUCAGCGCCAGUCUUGAACGCGGCCAAAUAACUUCCAUUGAAUUUUUGGGGUUUAAAACACUAAUUAGAAUCACCAGAGAGUACAAUAACUCAAGCUGCGCUGGAAAUAGAAGACAGAAAGCACCAGAAAGAAGGAAAUAAGAGAUUUCCAACAUAUAAUCAUACCUUAAAUUACAGCAAACCAACCAAUAUUAAGUUGUUAGAACCUCUUGUUUGUGAAAUAGGUGAAGAAAGUAAGCACUGUGGGAGAAGUAGAAGUAAUUGGCUGAAGACAACAUGGAAGGCCACCAAUAGAAAGAAGAAUCAUAUACAGAUUGAGA